rnacentral:rRNA from 1 species
GACGAACGCUGGCGGCGUGCUUAACACAUGCAAGUCGAGCGGUAAGGCCCUUUCGGGGGUACACGAGCGGCGAACGGGUGAGUAACACGUGGGUGACCUGCCCUCAGCUCUGGGAUAAGCCUGGGAAACCGGGUCUAAUACUGGAUAUGACUCCAUGACGCAUGUUGUGGGGUGGAAAGCCUUGUGCGGCUGAGGAUGGGCCCGCGGCCUAUCAGCUUGUUGGUGGGGUGANGGGCCUACCAAGGCGACGACGGGGUAGCCCGGCCUGAGAGGGCGACCGGCCACACUGGGACUGAGACACGGCCCAGACUCCUACGGGAGGCAGCAGUGGGGAAUCUUGCGCAAGUGGGUCGAAAGCCUGACGCAGCGA